CGUUAAUCGGAAUUACUGGGCGUAAAGCGUGCSCMGGCGGUUAUGUAAGACAGUUGUGAAAUCCCCGGGCUCGACCUGGGAACUGCAUCUGUGACUGCAUAGCUAGAGUACGGUAGAGGGGGAUGGAAUUCCGCGUGUAGCAGUGAAAUGCGUAGAUAUGCGGAGGAACACCGAUGGCGAAGGCAAUCCCCUGGACCUGUACUGACGCUCAUGCACGAAAGCGUGGGGAGCAAACAGGAUUAGAUACCCUGGUAGUCCACGCCCUAAACGAUGUCAACUGGUUGUUGGGUCUUCACUGACUCAGUAACGAAGCUAACGCGUGAAGUUGACCGCCUGGGGAGUACGGCCGCAAGGUUG
rnacentral:rRNA from 1 species